GUUGUGGUGAGCCAAGAUCAUGCCACUGCACUCCAGCCUGGGUGACAGAGUGAGACUCCAUCUCCAAAAAAAGAAAAAAGAAAUCCCUGUUCAGAGAAGCCCUGGAUUGGUGGUAGCCUGCCUCUCCUCUGUAAUGACCACGUUGCAGCACUGGAGUAAGAUGCCCAUCUCACAUCACAAGAGAGAAACCAGGGAGCAAACAGGGAUGUCAGUGGGCUCUAACUUUCUCAAAAAAAAAAAAAAAAAAAAAAAAAAUAGAUCUUAUACCUAACUAUUCAUUUCCAGAUUAUCUGAGCCAAGAGUAAAAAGAAGAAAACCAUUUUGUGUAUGAUGGAUAAUUGCAUGGAAUGAAAAGGGGAAAUUUUAGGUUUAGGAGGAAAAAAAAGCCAAGUGAGAUAAAGGCAAUACAGAAGUGUCCUUAACGUCCCCCUGCGCUUCACACAGAGUGCUAAAGGAGGAGGAACCACUAGGUGGCAGCAUAUGAGCAGGUGAACCAAAGAAAACCAACUGCCUCCGGUUUUAGGGGCCUUUGCACCAAUACCAUCCCACAGCACCUGGCACCUCAGACAGGCUGCGAGGAUGGAAGCAGCAUCAGGUAAAUUAUACCUAACAAGGUUCAUGCCCAGAACUGUGAGAAGAGUUGGAUCCCAGCUCUUUGGAAGACAAUCCUUCCUCCAGUGGUGAAGUUGAGCUGCACACACAAUGCAGGAGGGCUACAGAGCACAGUUCUAAACCAUUAUUUCCAUGCUGAUAAAUUCAUGAUUUAUGAAAGAAACUACUGCCAGCCCUCACUCCCUCCUUCUCUGCUACAGCUUGUUAGACACAAAUUACAACAACAAUCUUAAAUACUUGCAUUUUAUUUCAGGCCAAAGCCCCUCCACUCUGAACUAAAUGCCAUGACAGUCCCACAGCAUAGGCUGGUAGUAAAAGAGCCCACAGACAGGGUAGGAUAGCCAGAGGAGGGAGGAGUGGGCGACAGGUAGGGGAAUAAUCACAUACGCAAACCUAAGAGUAAAGCAAUGCAGAAUGCCUGUGGCACUCGGCUCCUACCAGCUCUGGCUCUCAGUGGAGAUGAAGAAUGGCAGCAGGAGGAGAGAAUGCCUCAUUGUCUGAAGGAGAGCGUGUUGUUCC